GCAAGUCGAGCGAACUGAUUAGAAGCUUGCUUCUAUGACGUUAGCGGCGGACGGGUGAGUAACACGUGGGCAACCUGCCUGUAAGACUGGGAUAACUUCGGGAAACCGAAGCUAAUACCGGAUAACAUCAUUCCUUGCAUAAGGAAUGAUUGAAAGAUGGUUUCGGCUAUCACUUACAGAUGGGCCCGCGGUGCAUUAGCUAGUUGGUGAGGUAACGGCUCACCAAGGCAACGAUGCAUAGCCGACCUGAGAGGGUGAUCGGCCACACUGGGACUGAGACACGGCCCAGACUCCUACGGGAGGCAGCAGUAGGGAAUCUUCCGCAAUGGACGAAAGUCUGACGGAGCAACGCCGCGUGAGUGAUGAAGGCUUUCGGGUCGUAAAACUCUGUUGUUAGGGAAGAACAAGUAUGAGAGUAACUGCUCGUACCUUGACGGUACCUAACCAGAAAGCCACGGCUAACUACGUGCCAGCAGCCGCGGUAAUACGUAGGUGGCAAGCGUUAUCCGGAAUUAUUGGGCGUAAAGCGCGCGCAGGCGGUUUCUUAAGUCUGAUGUGAAAGCCCACGGCUCAACCGUGGAGGGUCAUUGGAAACUGGGGAACUUGAGUGCAGAAGAGAAAAGCGGAAUUCCACGUGUAGCGGUGAAAUGCGUAGAGAUGUGGAGGAACACCAGUGGCGAAGGCGGCUUUUUGGUCUGUAACUGACGCUGAGGCGCGAAAGCGUGGGGAGCAACAGGAUUAGAUACCCUGGUAGUCCACGCCGUAAACGAUGAGUGCUAAGUGU
rnacentral:rRNA from 1 species